rnacentral:rRNA from 1 species
AACGAACGCUGGCGGCAGGCCUAACACAUGCAAGUCGAGCGAGGUAGCAAUACCUAGCGGCGGACGGGUGAGUAACGCGUGGGAACGUACCCUUUGCUACGGAAUAGCCCCGGGAAACUGGGAGUAAUACCGUAUGUGCCCUUCGGGGGAAAGAUUUAUCGGCAAAGGAUCGGCCCGCGUUGGAUUAGGUAGUUGGUGGGGUAAUGGCCUACCAAGCCGACGAUCCAUAGCUGGUUUGAGAGGAUGAUCAGCCACACUGGGACUGAGACACGGCCCAGACUCCUACGGGAGGCAGCAGUGGGGAAUCUUAGACAAUGGGCGCAAGCCUGAUCUAGCCAUGCCGCGUGAGUGAUGAAGGCCUUAGGGUUGUAAAGCUCUUUCAGGUGGAAAGAAUCACUACCCCGAAUACGGGUGGUGGAUGACGGUACCAUCAGAAGAAGCACCGGCUAACUACGUG